rnacentral:rRNA from 1 species
GAAAUAGCUUUAGGGCUAGCCUCGUUUUAGUCUUAUGGAGGUAGAGCACUGAAUUUCCGCGGGGGCGUCAAAGCUUACCAAAGAAUAUCAAACUCCGAAUGCCGCGUAAUCGAUUAUCGGGAGUCAGACUGCACGAGAUAAGUUGGGCGGUCAAAAGGGAAAGAGCCCAGACCACCGGCUAAGGUCCCAAAGUGUGUGUUAAGUGGAAAAGGAUGU